UACGUAGGGUGCGAGCGUUGUCCGGAAUUAUUGGGCGUAAAGGGCUCGUAGGCGGUCUGUUGCGUCAGGAGUGAAAACUCGGGGCUUAACCCCGAGCCUGCUUCUGAUACGGGCAGACUAGAGGUAUGCAGGGGAGAACGGAAUUCCUGGUGUAGCGGUGGAAUGCGCAGAUAUCAGGAAGAACACCCGUGGCGAAGGCGGCUCUCUGGGACGGUACUGACGCUGAGGAGCGAAAGCGUGGGGAGCGAACAGG
rnacentral:rRNA from 1 species